UUCCUUCCUUCCUUUCUUCCUUCCUCCUCCUUUGUUUCUUUGAGACAGGGCUCACUCGCCUGCCUGGCUUGAGCUCUCUCUGUGGCCCAGGCUGCCCUCGACCUCACAGAGCUCUGCCUGCCUCUGCCUCCCGAGAGCUGGGGUCGCAGGCGUGCACAUGCUUAACCACUGACCCGCCUUUCCAUCCCUUUUGUUGUUUCUGAGAGAGUUUCUCUAUAUGUUGUCCAGGCCGACUGUCCUCCCUCCUGAAGUGCUAGGACUGUGGGCAUGGCCGCCAGCGUGGGGAGCCCUCAUCGAACUCAUCCUCAGGGCGGCCCUGCCUGGAUCUGUGGAUCUGGAACUGCAGGAAGCCGGCUGCGCUGUGUCUCCCAGCACGUCUGUGUUCCUGACUCUGCCCUCCUGGCCGGAGCCCAGGCGAGCUGGCGGCAGGCAGCCCUUCCACGCGCUCUGUAGUUUGGUCAGUUUGUCUUGGCAGCUCUGGCUCACACGGCUGUGUUUGUAGUUUCUUCUCCAUGUUUCCUCGCUGCCUGCCGUGCCCUCCGGGGUCACUGUCCGCAGGCAGAGCCUUCGAUGCUGCCGGAGGAAGAGCAGCCUGGGGUAGGGCUGGACCGGUGACAGAGUCCCUGUGUCUAUGUGGCCCCUAAGGGCCCUCACUAUCCCUGAACUUUAUAGACCAGGCUGGCUUCAAACUCCCAGAGCUCACCUGCCUCCCGCCGGGAUUAAGGCGUGCGCCCCGCCCUCUUCCUUUCUCUCUGAGAGAACAGUCUGCCUUCAGCCCCGCUGCCGUCUCGCUGCUGCAGUGUCUUCACGGCUCGGGCCACUGGCCGGCCACCUGCUCCAAAACUGGUGGCUUCUCCAGACCAAGACCCCAAGCAGCCAGGGUGGCGAGGAGUCCCGGCAGGGACCUGUGUGACUAGAACAGUCCUGGGGUGGGCCGUGCUCAGCUUUGGCGCAGGCCGUGGCCCCAUGCGGCCACGUGUGUGAGCGUGUAUCCGUGAUGACAGCUUCCUGCUGGGGUGUUGGGAAAGGCCACUGGGGUCUGGGAUCUGAAGAAAUGAGGGAGACGAGGGCGGGGAGGCCAAGCCAGGUGGAGGGAGCAUCCAAACGCCACGACCCCACCUCUCCCCAUGCCCCUUGAUGGAAGGCCACAGCCUGGGCUGGCGAGACGGCUCCGCCGGUGGAGGCGAUUGCACCCAAGCCUGAUGACCCGGGUUCAGUCCCAGGGUGGAGGAGAGCACCACGUCUUAUGUACCCUCUGACCUCCGCAUCCGAGCUGUGGCGUACACGAGCGUGCCCGUGCCCAUACUAAAUAAACACAUUUAGGAAAGAGGAAAGAGCGUGGCUGGCUACGGAGGGCAGGACAGCGGCUCCCGCCCCCGGAUCUGGGGCUGACUCGUUAGCAGAGUGCUUUCCCAGCAGCGCAGGCCCUGGGUUCCAGCCCCAGCUGCUUUGUUUUUGUUUGGAGGCAGAUCUCUCGCCGCAGCCCUUCUGCCGGGGUCUUCCAGGAGCCGGGACUGCAGGUGUGCCGCAGCCUGGUCCUUCCUGGCCCUCACGGAGGAGCUGGGCCCUGCCCCGGGGCCCCUCAACACUCAGGAGACUCUGGCCUGGGAAUCAGGGUUUCUCCUGACUUCUCUCCUUCCCCACAAACACAAUGGUAUCUCUUUCCAAAGCCCCAGGGGACCCUGCUGGCUGCAGCCCACGGAGGGAGGCCGGUGGCCUGGCCCCAGGGCUCUCUGACAAGUUACUGAUGGGGAAGGGACAGUCCUGCGCCCGGCCACGUCAGGCCAUGCUGUCCCUGCCCCUGUCAGCCCCGGGCCCCCUCUCCGGUCAGAGCUGUGACGCAGGAGUCAGGGGCCCUGGAAAGAGCAGGCUGCCGGGAGGGGGCGGGGAGGGGGCAGAGCUCAGACUCGGACGUGUGUGGAUGUGCUUGUGUGCGUGUCUCACAGCCGGGCGACACUUGGGGAGCAGGUUCAAGAAGAAACUGGAAAGGUGACAGUCCGGGAUCAGGAGGAUCAGCUUCACGUGACUUCCCGCCAGCUCCUCUCUCCGCUCUCCCCGGAUGAACCCUGCGGCCUGCGCAGGCAACUGCCUGGGGCACCCUGAACCUUUCCUCCCUAGCUGCUGUGCGCGUGUGCGAGUGCGCGUGUGCGCGCACCUGCACCGUCCAUGUCGUGCAAGCGCGGAGGCCCCAGGCGGACGCUGGGGUGUCUCAGUCAGUGGUGGCUCAGCUUUGUUACGUUAAUGAAUUGCACGUGCGUCUGCGCGAGCUCCCCAGGACACACAUGUGGAGGUCAGAGGCCAGCUUGCAGCUGCUGAGUGUCUGCCGCCGGCCUCAGGCCUCAGACUUGGUGACCAGAACACGCACAGCCUCACCUCUCUCGGGCCCUCCCUCGGCCCUGGCUUUGGAGCAGGGUCUCAGCGAACCUGGAACUGAGUGAUUUGGUGCCACGAGCUGCUGAGCUGCCGGUGAGCUCCGGGGCUCCUCCUCGUCCGCCUCCCGAGCACGGACAUUACAGGCAGCCGCCUCUGUGCCCAACUUCUUUGCUUGUUUGUUUAUCGAGACAGGGUUUCUCUGUGUGGCCCUGGCUGUCCUGGAACUCUUGGAGAUCCGCCUGCCUCUACCUCCCGAAUGCUGGGAUCACAGGCGUGCGCCACCACUGGGUGCUGCGGAAUCUGAAUCAAGUCUGAGUUUGUGGGGAAAGGUUUCCUGAGGAAAGCCUCUCCUCAGCUCCCUCUCCUCAGCUCGCUUCCUUUGCUCAUAGAUCCCUACACGACACACUAGAAUUACAUGCUGAGAAACAUGCAUUAAAGGCUGUUUAUUCUGA